rnacentral:rRNA from 1 species
GAACGCUGGCGGCGUGCUUAACACAUGCAAGUCAAGGAGAACGGAUUCUUCGGGAUACUAGUAAACUGGCGAACGGGUGAGUAACACGUAGGUAAUCUACCCUGGAGAUUGGGAUAACCUCGGGAAACCGGAGCUAAUACCGAAUAAUGCAGCGGAUCCUUCGGGAUAUGUUGUUAAAGCGGGCUUUUGCUCGCACUUUAGGAUGAGCCUGCGUCCGAUUAGCUUGUUGGUGGGGUAAUGGCCUACCAAGGCGAUGAUCGGUAGCUGGUCUGAGAGGAUGAUCAGCCACACUGGGAUUGAGAUACGGCCCAGACUCCUACGGGAGGCAGCAGUGGGGAAUUUUGCGCAAUGGGCGAAAGCCUGACGCAGCAACGCCGCGUGAUCGAUGAAGCUUUUCGGAGUGUAAAGAUCUGUCGUGAGGGAAGAAUAACUUGGAUGCAAAUAGUUUUCAAGUCUGACGGUACCUUACAAGAAAGCACCGGCUAACUUCGUGCCAGCAGCCGCGGUAAUACGAGGGGUGCUAGCGUUGUCCGGAAUCAUUGGGCGUAAAGGGUCCGUAGGUGUCUUUGCAAGUCGUUUGUUACAUCCACCGGCUCAACCGGUGGCCUGCAAUCGAAACUGCAAGGAUAGAGUUCGAGAGAGGAAAGUGGAAUUCCUGGUGUAGCGGUGACAUGCGUAGAUAUCAGGAGGAACACCAAUGGCGAAGGCAGCUUUCUGGCUCGAUACUGACACUGAGGGACGAAAGCGUGGGUAGCGAACAGGAUUAGAUACCCUGGUAGUCCACGCCGUAAACGAUGAGUACUUGAUGUCGGAGGAUUCGACCCCUUCGGUAUCGUAGCUAACGCGUUAAGUACUCCGCCUGGGGACUACGGCCGCAAGG